rnacentral:lncRNA from 1 species
GGGUGGGGAAGGAGGGUAGGGAUGCCGGGGGCCACUCCUGCGUGGUGCGAGUGGGAACGCGCGCGCGCGCCUGGGUUUGCAUCCAAGAGAGGGGAGGACAGGGGCAAAAGGAUGCAGGGAGGCUGCUGAUUUCCACUGAAGAGCUAAUUUCCUGUGAGACAUUAACAGUGAUUUAAGAAAAAGAUUCCUGUAACUGUAAUGUCUUACAAUAACAGAAUGCAGGAGAGCACAUAUCAAUGAAGAAAAGACAAAAUGUACUUAUCCAUGAAGCUGAGGUUAAGAAACCAGUGUCUUCAAGAGCCAGGGACAGCACUGGGUCUGUGCAGAGUUGAGAGAUGGUGAUGACAUGUGGUUUCCAGCAUUCCUCACCCAGUCCAGGGACACUGUGGGUGUGCCCAGCUUAAGUCCAGUAACUGGAAAUACAAGCCCAAGUUCUGGAGAGUUUGAGCUGCAGAGAUAUAUAUGGGAACACUUUGAAUCUUGACUCAUUGGCCAUAACCAGCAGAGUGGAAAAUACAAGAAGAGAAAAAAACAUUGAACUGCGAUUUUAUAACAUCCUUUACUAGGCAGAGAGAAGAGGAAACACCAGGAAAGAAAACUGUAUUACGAUGUGAAAACUUAAUGUUGAGAAAUUCAGGCAUCUUGGGGUUAGUGAGGAGAAGUUUUAGGGGCUUAGAUUCUUCUAAACACAUGUACAGAAAUGCAUAUUUCAUCUGAUAUCAAAUGGCAUUUAUAGUGCUAAUCUUUACCUCAAGACUUCACAUCUUUUGGUGAUUGCAUCUUUUAGGUUUAUAGCAGCUAAGUUUGCAUGAAAACACCAGGGCUGUUUCAUUUCAGUCAAGAAUUAAUGUUCAUUGAUUGUGCUUCUGCAUUUCAUGUAACUAUUGUAGAAUUUGUUUUAGUUUUAUGAGGGAAUAAUUGUUCCAACUUCUAUAUAACUCAGGAAUUUACUCUCAAACAACACUGUCAAUUAGUUACUUAUCUCUCUGGAAAUGAUCUGGGAACAUGGAGAGGAAAGGGAGGAAGGGGCAAAAUCUGACCACUUAAAUCUAAGCAUAUUAGAUCAUUUUAUGCUAGAAAGUCCUGAAUGAUGUGACUUUCGUUCUUGUAAAACACCUCUUUCCAUAGAUUCAUGGCCCAAACAGUAUAUAAAGAGUGGGGAAGGAACUGCAUUUGCAAAUAGUUCAAAUCAUUGCUCCAUCUUAACUACGCAGUUCACAAAGUGUGAAGAAAUGUGAUCAUCUCAAAAAAGAUAAUGGGGAAAAAAUAUGUUUUGUUCUGUGACUUUAAAGUCUUGCAAUAUUUUACAUAAAUGAUAAUGGGUGCUUUAAUAAGAACUCUUGAUACUUUUGUUAUUGUAUUCAAUAUAUGCAUAUAAUACAACAGGAUGAUAUUGUUUUGGAUUUGGAAAUGUAUUCUUUCUUAUGCAAUCUUAUGCAGUCAUACUGCUUGAAUAUCAUUACCUGAAUUUAUCUUUCUUUUUUUUGUUGUUGUUUUACACUCUACUUAUUUGGUGCCUGUCAGUCUUUUGUCGUCAGUUUAUAUUCUACUAAACUCAAAAAGACAAUCUCAUACCUUUUGUAAUUGUAGGCAUUCUUUACUAGAUUUUUAAAUACACUUCAAAAAUUCAAGUACUUUGAUUUCAUGCCAUCAAGUAGCUGAAUCUAUCCCCCCGUCUCUUUUUAAAUUUAAGUGAGUAGUUCAAUUUCUGUCACUUUCUACUUUGUGAAUUCUAAAUCUUUUAAAACCAUCUUGCCAUUUUUCGUGCACUUACCCUUACAGAAAACUCUGUGAAACACUACUUAUCUCUACUUUUAUGUUUUUAACUCCUUUUUUAUAUUACUAUUCCCUCUGCUUUCUAAAUGCACAUAUUAAUUUGUUCUUUUUAUUCUCUGUAGCUCUUCUCAGUGUAUGAAUUCAGUUUCCCAUCAGUCUCCAUACAAUUAAAAAAAAGUUGAGUAUUCUGUUAUUUUAAUAAGAUAUCUAGUGCCCAUAUUCUAAUUCUGCCCCUUAUUUUUAAUAUAAUUUUAUUGUUGAUUUAAAAUGACAACAGUUUCAAUUCCCAGAAAGUGAAAGGAAACAAAGGAAUAAUAUUAUAGGCUUAAUUUUUAUCAGUGAACUUGUAGGUGAAGAAAAGAUUUGGGGAAGGAAAUGAACAUAUUAUAUUGCAAAAUAGUAAGGAACAAUCAGAUGUGUUUUCUAGUCUCUGGAAAAGCAUGUUUCAAGAAAUUCAAUGAAAAGUUCAUCAUGCUUGCUUAGAUUGUUGAGAAGCAAAAACACUGAUGAACAUUUGGAAGCAAUGAGAAUGUAAUUCUAAUCAUACUCUUUUAAUAAUGUUGCAAAACUCUCCAAACACUACUCUGUGUGGAUGUCUUUCAGAAUAUGAUGAAUACUAGUAGUCUUAUUCUGCCCUUUUCUCUCUAUCACAAUAUAUACAUUCUAUAUUGCAUACACAUAUUUUCCAAAUAUUACAUAUAAUUUCAUGUAAUUUAUAGACCUAUUAAGGCCCAACCAUUUUCUUGGAUAGGGGAUUCUUUAGAAGUCCAGCUUAAAUAAAGCCCGUAUAGAAAGUUUUUUUAAAAUUUAUACAUAAUCACCUAAAGUAACCUUAUCUACUGAACUCUUAGUACAUGCUACUGGAACCUUUUAUCAUGUUUCUUCCUGGCUUGCAUUACAACACUGUUGACAUAUCUCAGCCUUACUUCUAGGCUUCUUUGAGAGCAUGACUCAUGUUUGUAUUCCUCACUGAGGUUGAAUGAAUAAGAGAAACUACAGUAGUAGGAAAAAACAGUACAUGUACAUAUCAAUGAAUAUGAAAGGGUCAAAUGGAUCUAUUAUAGUAAGCACAAAAUCAACUGACACCAGCAAAGUAAACCCAAAAUUUUUAAUGGUAUUUUAAUAGAUCAAGAGGAGCAAGCAGAUUUUUGAGACAGUUGUCUCCUACUUUCUCUAUCACAGGGAGUAAUUUUAAAAGAAAAAUGGAGGGUAAGUUUCUUUAAGAGAAAAUUGUAGUUUAAAACAGGUCAUGGGAUAAUUAGAAAUAAUUUAAUUUCUUUAGAGGAUUUUAAUCUUUCAACUGCUUGCAAUUAGAUCCUAAGGCAAUAAAAGAAUAAGGAGAUUUGGAAAACCAUUGUCUGUAAUCUCUGAAGAAAAGUGGACAUUAGGGGAGUCAGUUGAAAAGCAAAGCUAUCACCAUUUUCUAAAGAGGAAAAAGGUGAACCUCACAAACUAUAGACCAAAAAAAUAGGACAUCGAGAGAAAGAAUAUGAAGCUAGCAUAGGUUCACAAAGAAUGAGUCAAAUCAAACAACAUGCAUUUUUUAUUUAUAAAGCAUGACUUGUUCAUUGUCAAUUCAUGUUAGCUUAAUCAUUAGGCAUUAAUGCCAUCACUGCAAUGCAUAUGUCAGCAAUAAAUAAUCAAAGACCAGGCUUCCAUCAUUCUGUUUAAUAUCUUCAAGUAAUGCUUAAGUUUGCAAAUGCUCUUUUAACACAUUCUCCAUAUGCAGCCUGCCCAGCACUGCACACAAUAGACCUGUUACUUCCCCCUCACGAGCACUCCUAAUAUUUCAUGUGCUCAUCCAAUUGACUUCUCCCACUGGUGCCUCAUAUUGAAUUUGUAGAAUCACACCUGCUCCUUUUUCAAAACUCUUCUGAGUUUUUUCUUAAAUAAUUCACUGACCCCAAAGUUGUCAGAUAUUUGAAGACUACUCGCACAAUUUUAAUAUUAUAAAUGUAUAAUGUAAAUGUAAUUAAGAUUUGUAUAAUGUACGAUGUACUUUGGUAAAUAAAAGUAUGCUGUGAAUAAAUACGUAUGAUACAAUUCAAAAUUUUACAUAAAUAUGUGAUAAAAUUUAGCUCAUAUUCUUUUUUUUUUUCUUUGAGACGGAGUCUCACUCUGUUGCACCCAGGCUAGAGUGCAGCAGCAUGAUCUCAGCUCACUGCAACCUCUACCUCCUGGGUUCAAACAAUUCUCCUGCCUCAGCCUCCUGAGUAGCUGGGAUUACAGGUGCCCGCCACCAUGCCCAGCUAAUUUUUUUCUAUUUUUGUUGUUGUUGUUGUUUUUAGUAGAGACGGGGUUUCACCAUGUUGGUCAGGCUGGUCUUGAACUCCUGACCUCAGAUAAUCCACCUGCCUCGGCCUCCCAAAGUUCUGGGAUUACAGACGUGAACCACGGUGCCCGGCCUAGUUCAUGUUCUUUAAGGACAAUUAUGAAUAUUUUUAUGCACUGUUAAUUUUCAUUAAGAUAUUGAUCAAUUAAUAGCUAUAUAUGUUCUAUAAAUUAAUCCUAUCUAGUUUCAAUCUUAAAUUGUUUGCAUAUACCAAUCUAGUUUAUUGUUUGCAUAUAUUUUAUAGUGUAGAGAUUAGGCAUUUUAAUAAAAUUUUAAAAUUUCCAGGACAUACUGUUAAUGACUAUGCUUCCUACUAUAGGCCAUAAUUAAUUUUUUUCUAUUGUCAACAAUAUUUUGGUAGGGAUGAUCAGGAAAUAAGGAAAUGUUUCCUUCAUUUGUUAACAAUAGGUGUUUGGGGAUUUUAAAAUGAAAAUUGAAGAAGUAAAAGACACCAUAUAUUUAGUUUGUUUGAUUUCGUGGCUUCAAGAGUUCAAUAAUUUAUUGAAAUAUUUUACAGACCAAAGAACAACAGAUAUAUUACGUUUAUAAGCCCCCACAUAUUUUAAAGGAUAAUGGUUUAUAUAUGAAAAUUCCCUGAACCUACACUUCAUC